GUACGGGAGGCAGCAGUGGGGAAUUUUCCGCAAUGGGCGAAAGCCUGACGGAGCAAUCUCGCGUGAGGGAUGACGGCCUAUGGGUUGUAAACCUCUUUUUUCAGGGAGGAACAAAAUGACGUGUACCUGAAGAAUAAGCAUCGGCUAACUCCGUGCCAGCAGCCGCGGUAAGACGGAGGAUGCAAGUGUUAUCCGGAAUCACUGGGCGUAAAGCGUCUGUAGGUGGUUUGAUAAGUCAACUGUUAAAUCUUGAAGCUCAACUUCAAAAUCGCAGUCGAAACUAUUAGACUAGAGUAUAGUAGGGGUAAAGGGAAUUUCCAGUGGAGCGGUGAAAUGCGUAGAUAUUGGAAAGAACACCGAUGGCGAAGGCACUUUACUGGGCUAUUACUGACACUCAGAGACGAAAGCUAGGGUAGCAAAUGGGAUUAGAUACCCCGGU
rnacentral:rRNA from 1 species